CUAGUAAGUAAUGACAGUACAAAAAUUUAACUUGUCAGAAAAGCUUCUUUAUUCUUGCCCAGUCCCCCGCGCAGCCUCCUUGCAGAAUUUCUACAUUUUGGGGGACAAAAAACUUUCGGUUAAUUGAUUGAAAUAUGUCAAUUUCAUGUCAACAUGAUCGCUAGAGUUUGGCAAAAUUUCAUAUUUUCGACAGCAAACCCCCA